ensembl:lncRNA
UGGGAACUGACCGGGUGUAGGGACAAACUGGAUGGCUUUGGUCUAAAGAAUCACUCCACGUCACAUCAGAAAGCCUGCUUACACAGCUGUUGCCUUUUGGCCUUAUUCUUGAGAUACAAAGUGAGCUCAGCAGUUGUAAAGGUCUAGAAAAGCUUCGCUCAGUAAAUCUAGCACCUCUCCCUUUAGAAAAAUAAAAAUGUAUUCCUAAUGUAGUUUAACUAUCCAUACAAUGGAAUUUUAGAAUCUACAGCACCGUAGGAGACCAAUUCUGCAUGGAACAGACAAUAAAAACAGCCAUAUUUUUAGAAACCUGCAAAUGUAGAUUUUUUUCUGGAUGGUUUUGGUUUUAUGCUUUAGUGGAGUUCAAAAUACAGAACCUAAUAAAAUACAGAGUCUAAUCAGACUUUUGUUGUUUACUCCCAAGAAAUGCAGCAUAUUGGAACUAUUUUGCAAUUUUUUAAACCAUCAUUUGGAUUCAUAAAUAUUUACACUUAGAUGCUAUUACUGUGUAUUUCACUUCUCUCUCAUCAAACCUGGCAUGUUUAUUAAAAUAUUUUACAGUCUUUGCAUGCCAGACACAGCUUAGCAUUAAGGGUGCAGUCUUGGAACUGAUCACUGAAAUACUUCUGAUAUCAGUGUAAGUUGUGACUACCCGCUUAAGGGCCUCGAUACGUUUUGCUUUGACUUCUGUCCUGCUACAGCAUGACACAAAGCAUCAGACUGUGAGAUGAAUUCCUGAAGACAUAUAGUGCUGGAUGAUGUUAUUGACGCGCAUACUUACCGUAGCUUUCAAGUGUGGUGACAGCAGUAGUCACCAGAGCAUUUAGAAAGGAGCAGAAUGCUUUCUCAUUUGUGUCUGUACAAUGCUGCUGUGCCACUGCCUCCAUAGCCCUCAUCAUCUUUUCUUUUUUGUGACUGUUUCUUAGGGUUCUAUCGAUGGGAGCAGUCUUAGACACUGAGCUCUGUUUGUGCCUUCAGUUUCAUACAGUGUUAUAAACCCGGGGACAUUUUCUGUCUGUUUUCUAUCACAUGCACCCUGUGAGAUGGCCAGCCUCAGCCUUCUAGAACUUGAGUCAAAACUUGAGUUUUUUUUUUAUGUGUGUGUAUGUAAAAAUGAUUGGAAACAGAUCAGGUGCGUCAAAGGUCUGUCCCAAAUUUAGCAAAUGUAAUCUUUGUUAUUUAAAAUGUUUCUAAUGUUAAAUGCUAGGCCCAACUGAUCACCGUGCGUAGUGCUACAAUAGCUGCAGCGGUCCGUCUUGAAUUUGACCUCUUUAAACUGACCCCAUUACAUUCAACUGAUGAUUUUUGCUUCUGCCUUUUUAUAGCAAUGCUUUUAGUCAGUCAUUGCGAAUCGCACCUGAAUACAGCUAAGGUGGGGCUAUAUGUUUCUUUUCUAUGCUUAUGGAACGGUGGUUUAAAUGCAUUCAAGUAGUGGCUGUAAAAACGUUAGGGAAAGACAGGUUUGAACAAAAAUUUUAGAUCUGGAUCUGUACUCGCAGUUCAAGCCUACCUUUAAUGGCCUGAUUUAGAACAUUCCCAGGAUUUCAGAGUUAUAAUUCACAUCUGUUUUUCUUUAUUUUUCCUUUUAUUAUGUGGUCUUAAACAAGGUUCUGUCAGUCCUGCAUGCUGGAUUAAUAGAAAACGCUGAAAUCUCCACUUUCUAUCUACCUUCUAAUGAACCCAUGCAUUUUGAUUUCUACUGGUGAUUUAAUAAAGCAUUUACACAAUGGCCACAAUGGAUACUUCUCCACCAAAUAACAAUUUCUCAGAGUGUAAGGGCAGAUUGGAAUUAGGCAGGACUCAUUAAGCUGUCAUAAUAUGUUAAGGGCAGUGAAGGAAAUUGAUGAGAUUCUCUCAUUUUUAAUAUUCAUUUAGCCAAGCUGACUUACAUCUCAAGCGCAGGCUGCAUUUACUUGGAUUUUCCUGUACUUCUCUAACUAAAUAAAUAUAUUUAAGUUUCACAGUAACAUAUGUGAAAGUGUUGACAACAACAUUGCUUAUUCCACAUGUUAAUUAUGUAUUUGUUCAGUGUGCCGAUGAACUAUGUGCACUUCUCAUGUUAACUUUUCAUUUCAAGUCAAAAGCAAAUGUAGUAAGUGGAUUUGUGCUUUUAAUUUGAGAUAUUUCUUUUUCCUCUAAAACGAUCUUGUACACGAUUCCUCUGUACCAUAUGAACUGAAAAACUUCUGUUGGCAAGAAGUUUAAAAAGAAAGUAACGCUCUCUUCUCAGAAAAGGGAUUUUAACAAAGCAAAGCAAUUGUGCCAUUAAUGAGAAAGUUAAAUGAAACAAAUGACAAGACAAGAAAAAAAACACACAGCAUCAC